CUGUAGCUGGCGGUGGGGGGCGAGUGAGUGGCUAGCAACGUGAGCGUGGAUCAGCAACCAGACCAAGAGAGAAGUGACAGCUCGGAGAAUCUUGAAGAUAAAACCAAAUUAAUAGCAACUUUCCACGCACCUCAGCUCCCUUCAUUUUGUUUAUGGAUGCAUUCGAGAGAGGCACCAAGAAAGCCAACCCAUUUCCUUGAGGGUCGAGCUUCGCUGCCAAGGAAUCAGGCGACAGGUCAAAAGCAAGCUCAAUUUCACAAAAGCACAUCUAUCAAAAAGAUUAGAAAUUAGUUGUACCAGUAUAAUAUUUUUGUCUGAAGAAGCUUUCAAGAUCUUGUCCUGUCGGUGCCUGUCUAGUUUCUGAAUCCCAUGAUCUGAAGCUUCUUCAUCUUAUAAAACGCUACUUACUCCUAGUUUGACAGCAAAACUUUCUCCACUCAAUGAGAUCCCUAAGAUUUGCUAUCUUUCUGAUUUUCUUCUUCUGCUUUGCUCUGGUUGGGCAUGGACGUGCAAAAUCCAAUGAACUAGUGGUGGGUUCCAUUAAAUCCUUCCAUUUGGGGCAAACACAGGGAAGAUCCAAGUGUCAAGAUGUUAGUGAUGAAUGCAAAAUGGGGGGAGGCAGAAAAGAGAGUGUUUUUGAACAUGAAGACUAUGUCUACACUCAAUCUAUUCCUUAGUUUAUGCAAACUCCAUGCAAUCUAAAUUUCUUACUUCAGUGGCAGAGAUAAUAAGAGAAUCAUAACCUGUGUCCAUACCUCAUUUGUCAAGUAGCAGCAGCAAUUCACAAGCAGUUUAAAGCUUCAAACUUCUUUCCUUUGUGGAAACUGCAACUCCUCUGAAGAUGACGUUUCUGGCUGCAUGGUAAAUAGUGCCUUUGUAUUUGCAAAAUAAAGGGAAGGUAUUGGUGUGAAAAUGGUAGAUGUUAAGUGCGAAGGAGGAUGGGAUAAAAUAAAAUGUUCCAAACAUGAAGGCUGUCUUCAGCCAACAACUCUCUUCGAUUGUGCAAAGUUCCAUAAUUCAUGCUGUCUAAAAUAUCUACUCAAAUGAGAAUAAUUACAGUGUAAA